CACUUUCAGGCUGAGUCUCAAUAGCGGCAGUGCAUUGAAGCCAACUAAGUACUACUGAAAAUGCAGCUCUCCAGACAUGUAGAUGCAUCUGUGCUCAGCACCUACGCGUAUUCAGAAAUAUCUGUAACACUUCUGCCCAGAAAGCAUAUAAAAGUGAAUGUAUACUUACAGCGCUGACAACCACUAAGCUCAGGAGUUAAGUGACAGCCUGGGGAGGAGCCCAGGGAGGGGCAGAGAGCAUAGCGUGUGGCACCUGCGGUUUCAGGCAUGUCCUGGUGCCCAGGCCCCUCGCCUAGCAGAAACCAGAGCCACAGGGCCGUGACCGUGGCCGAGUAACUGACCGUGCGCGACUCCGUGGUCAGACCCAGGACUGCUGCGCGCACUAGCUACCCACAGCGCACCGCGGCGCGCACGCGUAGAGCGCCGUUCCCGGCGUGCAGCGUUGCGGCCCAGGCGGCCGUCUUAGUCUGCCCCGCAGGGCCGGUGGGGCACGAGCAGCGGGAACAUGGCUCUAAAACGGAUCCAGAAGGAACUGACUGAUUACAGAGGGAUCCCCCUGCUCAGUGUUCUGCGGGACCUGUGGGUGAUGACUGUUGCUUUCACUACCAGAAUCUAUCACCCUAAUAUCAACAGCAAUGGCAGCAUUUGCCUGGACAUCCUGAGGUCACAGUGGUCCCCAGCACUGACUGUGUCUAAAGGUAAAACAGACUAGCAAGAGAGUGGACACAGAAAUAUGCUAUGUAAGUGCCUCGAAGGCUCCAUGGAAGACCCUGUCCAAGAGAAGCUCGCCCCACAGAGUGACCUUCCUGUGAAGCUCUGAGCUCUUGGCUAAGGCACUCUCGGAACAUCCUGUGUUCACACAUGUGUUGGCACUCACCUCUGUGGCUGCAGCAUGUUGGUGCCACUUUUAGCCAUUGUGGCCUUGACAGUACCACACCUUUGAUACUAAAUCAGCAACCACUGUUAUGAUCUACAGUCUUCCUGGUUACACUAGAAUCUGUCUGGGGAAUCAAGCCAUGCAUGCCUCCUGUACUUGUCCUCAAAUGGUGCCACUACUCACUGUGACACUCUAGAGGGGCCCAGUCUGCCCCCUGACCACCUGCCCUUUGCCUUUAGAGCACAGUGAUUUCCUAGGGGCCCAGACAGAGUGGGCUCUCUUCAUACUUUGUCUGCCACAGAACCAUGUCCUAAGGAGUGCCACUAUGUCCUGGAGGCUCCUAGAAAUUGGAACAGCCUCCCCUGAAAGCCAUCUUCCGCCACGUUCCUCCAUAGUGCUCCAUGCUGCAAACAGCAAGCGAGGAGCAUUGGGGCAUUUAAAGCACAUAACACCCAAGGAAGAAUGGGAUUCUCAGACAAGGGGAGAUUCGGGUUAUGCUUGUGUAUGUAAUGAGGCUUCCUCUACCGUCUUCCCACUGGAAACUUAACGUGAAAUUCAAGCAUAAGCCAUUCACAAACUGGAACACAAGGAAGGAAUGGGACUUUAAAUGGUAAUAAAAAUGGUCAUUCCUU
rnacentral:lncRNA from 1 species